rnacentral:rRNA from 1 species
UACGUAGGGGGCUAGCGUUGUCCGGAAUCAUUGGGCGUAAAGCGCAUGUAGGCGGUCCGGUAAGUCCGCUGUGAAAGUCGGGGGCUCAACCCUCGAAUGCCGGUGGAUACUGUCGGGCUAGAGUGCGGAAGAGGCGAGUGGAAUUCCUGGUGUAGCGGUGAAAUGCGCAGAUAUCAGGAGGAACACCGGUGGCGAAGGCGGGUCUCUGGGCCGUAACUGACGCUGAGGAGCGAAAGCAUGGGGAGCGAACAGG